AUGCUGAUUAUCAUCCCCUUUCAUCCUCUCAUGCCAGCUCUUAUCCACUGCCUCAUGGUAGCCAUCUAUUUUAGUGACUGCAUUUAUGAACUUAAACCCAAAUUUGGGUCUAGUACUGUUAUCUUCCCCUUUAAUACACACCAGAGCAUGGUCAAAUACACCAGGUUCCAGCAUAUACAUAGAUUUAUCAUUGUUUUGCUAUAUCCACUCAAUAUUACCAAUAACCCUGUCAAUGCAAGAGUAAAUAGCUCCUUCAGUAUGCUUGUUAUACCAGGUAUACCUUUCCCCCUUUCUUUCAAUUUCAAAGAGACCUGUAUCAGUCAUCAUAUCCCUAAGGUCUAUGAACUCAUUCUCUCUAACCUCUUGACCACCAAUUCUAUCUUGCAUUCCUAG